rnacentral:rRNA from 1 species
CAUUUAUUAGAUAAAAAACCAAUGCAUGUUUUUAAAGCAUGAAAGUUGGCGAUUUACAAUAACUAAGCAAAUCGCAUAGUGAAAACUGGCGAUAAAUCAUUCAAGUUUCUGACCUAUCAGCUUUCGACGGUAUGGUAUUGGCUUACCGUGGCAGUGACGGUUAACGGGGGAUUAGGGUUCGAUUCCGGAGAGGGAGCCUGAGAAACGGCUACCACAUCUAAGGAAGGCAGCAGGCGCGCAAAUUACCCAAUUCUAACAGCAUAAGAGAGGUAGUGACAAGAAAUAACAGUACAAGGCAGUUAAAAUGCUUUGUAAUUGGAAUGAUAGAAAUUUAAACACUUUUUAAAGUAUCAAUUGGAGGGCAAGUCUGGUGCCAGCAGCCGCGGUAAUUCCAGCUCCAAUAGCGUAUAUUAAAAUUGUUGCAGUUAAAAAGCUCGUAGUUGAAUUUCUGCUAAAAAUAACCGGUUUGCUUUUAUUAAUAAAAGUGGUAUCUUGGUGUGUUUUUAGCAAUAAUGUCCUUUGAAGUGUUUUUUACUUUAUUGUAAGAAGCAAUAUUCAGGAUUUUUACUUUGAGAAAAUUAGAGUGUUUCAAGCAGGCUAACGUUUUGAAUACUGCAGCAUG